ACAGGAUUCCCCUAGUAACGGCGAGUGAAGCGGGAAGAGCUCAAGCUUGAAAUCUCCGACACAGAUUGAGUUCUGUGCGGCGAAUUGUAGUCUAUGGAAGCGUGGUCAGUGUAGACACUCGAGUUAAGUUCCUUGAAAAAGGACAGCAUGGAGGGUGAUACUCCCGUCUAUCCUUGAGUGGCUUAUGCGUACGGCCCGUUUUCUUUGAGUCGCGUUGUUUGAGAAUGCAGCGCAAAGUAGGUGGUAAAUUCCAUCUAAAGCUAAAUAUUGGUGCGAGACCGAUAGCGAACAAGUACCGUGAGGGAAAGAUGAAAAGAACUUUGAAAAGAGAGUUAAAGAGUACCUGAAACUGCUGAAAGGGAACCGGAUCGUUUCUAGUGUCUAUAAUCUGUGGUAUAUUUCAUUGGCAAGUGUGUGUGUGCGUGUGCUGUGCGGCAGCGGCCUUUUUAGGCUGCGCCCGGCGUGUGUGUGCAUGUGUUUGCUGGUGCCCUGUACUGCGGUGGGACGUCAACGUCAGUUCGUAUGCUGUGGGAAAUGACUGCUGAGGAGGUAGGGCUUACGCUUGCGUUUGUCUGUUAUAUCUUGGCGGACUUUGUCGUGGUUGGGACUGAGGUGCCUAUAAUGUGCUUAUACGAGUGGGUCAUGCGUCUCUGUGCGCGCUGUGUGCGGAUAGCUUGCUAUGCGUGUGUGGCUGUGUGUGGAUUGAUACGGGCUUUAACUUGUUGCCGUUCGGGACGUUGGCGAAAUGGAGCGAUCUGACCCGUCUUGAAACACGGACCAAGGAGUCUAACAUAUGUGCAAGUGUUAGGGUGUGGAAACCCCAGCGCGAAAUGAAAGUAAAGGACAGCGCAAGUUGUCUUAGGUAGGAAAUGCUGCGGGUUUCGGUCUGCGGCGUGGCACUAUCGACCGAUCAUGAACCUUCGUGGUGAAAGAUUUGAGUUUGAGCAYAUAUGUUGGUACCCGAAAGAUGGUGAACUAUGCCUGAGUAGGGUGAAGCCAGGGAAACUC
rnacentral:rRNA from 1 species